AAGUUCCACCCUGAUAUCACAGCACACGGAUUCCACUUUUUCCUUGAGGAGAAAGGAGAUUGUUGAGAUUGAGUCUCCAGUAAAAGAGACUCUUCAAAGAUGGCCAUCACUCUUCACAGAAUGACAAAUCAAUUCAGAGUUUGUUCGCAUCACAAGCAAAAACCUCAAGCAAGAUUUUUUCACAGCACUUGAUCAACAUACAGCUCGAUUUCUGAAAAUUUUUGAAACCAAAAAAGGGACAGUUGGAAAAAGGCUUUCAGAGUUUUUUGAUCAAAUCAAGUUGAAGGGCACUGACAUCACUGCUAAUCGCACAGCAGUUCUUCGUGGACUUCCUCUCCUUCUUGGAGAAGAAACCUCUGACUUUUUCAAAGCAACAUUGG